rnacentral:lncRNA from 10 species
AUUAGAUUCAUGGAUUGAAGGACUCCUUGUAAAAACUUCAACUCUUCCCAAACCUUGUUUCAAGAAUUCAGUUUUUCAUGGAAUUUGACAAGUACAUUCUCAAAUUAUAUAGAAUUUCAAAAAUUGCCAGUAUAUUGUUGAGAAAGGAGCAGAUGGAGAGAAUCAUUCUUCCUGACAUUAUUAGUUAAUAUAAAUCUACAAUAUUUAGGAUGGUAUAGGCUGGUACUGACUGAUAUAAAUAGAUCAGAACAGAAAGAAACAGAAUAAAUGGCCCUAAAAUAAUAAAAACCUGUAUUUAUGAAAAAACUAGUUUUAUUGUACAUAAGCCAGUACAAAACCGUCUUCAAUAAAUGGUGCUAGAGCAACUAAUUCAUAUUUAUUUUGUAAAGUAAAAUAUAUACUUAUUCUAUGUACCUAUCUCCCAAAAAAAUUAAACCCACAUGGAUUACAGAUUUGAAUGCAAAGUCAAAAAUUUAAAAAAUGGUAGGAAAAAGUGGCAGAAUAUUUAGUUUCCCAAAUAAAGGAGUUCAUAAACAAGUCUGUGAUGCCCAAACUAAAAGGAAAACAAAUAUUGUUAACUUGGUUUACAUAAAAUUAAUAAAUUAUAUUAAACAAAAGGCACCAUGAAGACAUUAACCACUGGGAGAAGAUAUUUGCAAAACAUAUAACCCAAAAGAGUUCAUAAUAUAUAAACAUGUUACAUAAAAAACUGAUAAAACCAAUUAAAAAGGACAAACGUGCACACGCGUGCACACACACACACACAUUAGGAAAAUGAGCAAAAAACAUAAGCCAUCAUUGUACAGAAGGGAAAAUAGAAAUGUCCAUAAAAACAUGAAAAUAAACGGGACCUUAGUCAUCAUAAACAUGAAAAUUAAAGCCACAGUGAUUUAGCAUUUCACAUAUGGUAAUAUAAAAUGGUAAAAUAAUUUUGGACAGUAAUUUAGCAUUUCUUAAAAAUGAUGACAUGCACACAUGCUUUGACCAAGUACCUCUUCUCCCAGGCAUGUGUCCUGGAACCUCCUGUUUAGGAGCACUAGAUUAACAUGAAGAGAUUUGCGUCUGUUAUGAGUUAUUGCCACCCAGCUCUGAGACCGCCAUUCUUGACCCUGCUUUGUGAUAUGGAGAUGGGCCCUGUGAACAGUUCUCUAGCUGCUGUCUCAAAGUGAGGCUCUGUCUCUAGACAGAGCUAGGUGGGGCACUGUAAAACAGUCGCAGGGGAGAGGUGCUCCCUUUUUUUGGUGCUUUUGUGCUGCUUGUAGCAUGGCAGCCAGCAAGUUGGUGUGCAAGAGGCUCAGUAGCAUUAAUCUCUGUGACUCUGAUGGGCCAGCUGCAUCCUGAGCCCCUGAAAACUUCUUGACUUCUUGGUGCACUGGACCAAUGGACCGGCUCUACCCACGUCUUCCAGCAAGUCCCUUCUCCCAGCAGGUACUGCUCCUGCGCAGUAAAGCCUUCUCCAAAGAGGCGGGGGUCUCAGCCUGGUUCUUCCUUGUUCCUCGUCCUCUGAGGUAGCAACUGCCUCAUCUUUUCCAUCUAUGGAGUGUGGAAUAUGUGCCCUACUUCAUUCAGGUGUGAAAAUAAAAUGAGAUAACAAAUAUCUGAUGGUUGGAAACAAGUAAGGUGUCAAUGAAUGUUGAUUUUAUUAUAACCAAGAAUAAUUAAAAUAUUUUGAGCUGCUUCCUAUAGCUAGUCAUUUGCCUGCAAUUUUUAGUGUGCUCAUUAGUUCAUAAAGCAAUUUCUGGAUGGAAGGGAGGGAUGUGGUAAUUGUGUUUAAGUACAUAGGAGAUUUUAACUUAAGAGAAAGUUUGUAAAGGAGCCACAGAAACAGGGUACUGUAGACAGAAGAUAGCCAAGGAGAUAGAGUGAUGGAAAAGAACUAGGUAGGACCCUUCUUCAGGGAACAUGUAUAUUGCUUCAGUCACUCCAGGACUAAUGAGGAGCCAAAAACUCUCUAGAGCGAAGCCGAAGUAAAUUACAGAUAUAAAUUAGAAUAUGUUAAAUAGUCUAGCAACAGCAAAUGAAGGUUACCUGCUGGCAUUAGGUCACAUAACACUCCCUUAUUUACUGCUGGUGCUAGUCCCCAUUGGCAUGGUAGAAGCCAGGACUUCUGCACCUGAACCUUUUCCUCCCCCUUAAAAAAUGAGUCAGUCCAGUACAUAAACCAAUCGACUUAAAAUUUACAUAGUUACUAAAAAGAUCUGAGAAUGUUUAGACUUGUAUUAGUUUUUAAGUGAAGUUGGUUUCUCAUUUCUUAAAACAGUCCAGAGACUUGAGGCAAUAAAUGACUCUCAGCUUCUCCUAUUCAUGAGUCCAUCUUGUCACACUUAUCUCAUGAGAAAAAAACUAGAAAGAGGCAGAAAUGAGAAAAAAUGACUUCCUCGGGCAAUUCGAAGGCAGAAAAGUUGUUUGAGAAUUAUCCUCAUUAUCUUCCUGACCACCUCACAUACCCUGUAGGUGGAAAGAUUUAAUUCUUCACUACUUCUUAGACUGAUGGGACUGAAGUGUAAUGUUUCUUGUUCAAAGUCAUAGUUCACUGGAUGUUUUUCAAACAGGAAUGUUGGACAAACCAGCUAUUUAGAGAGUGAAGGAGAGGAACUUCCGAGAGCAACCGGCCCCCAAGAGAAACCCAGGGACUCCUGCCCUUCGGCAGCUUUGUCCAUGUGCUGCUCACACCAAAAAGCACUCGAGGGUGACCUGCACCAAAAAUGCAUUGCCGUAGUCUGGGCACAGUGGAUCACGCCUGUAAUCCCAGCUCUUUGGGAGGCCAAGGUAGGUGGAUCAUCUGAAGUCAGGAGUUCGAGACCAGCCUGGCCAACAUGAUGAAAUCCUGUCUCUAUUAAAAAUACCAAAAUUAUCCCAGCGUGGUGGCAGACGCUUGUAAUUCCAGCUACUUGGGAGGCUGAAGCAUGAGAAUCUCUUGAACCCAGGAGGCAGGGGUUGCAGUGAGUCAAGAUUGUGCCACUACAUUCCAGCCUGGGCAACACAGUGAGACUCUGUCUUAAAAAAAAAAAAAAAAAAAAAGCAUUGCAGUUUGCAGUUUGGUGUGGUGUAAGGAACAAUUUGCACGUCCUGUCCAAACUGCCUGUCUGCCUCUGCCUUCGGAGAUGCUUCCUCCUGUUCUAUAUCCAGGUUAUUAUUCACUGCAAAUUACAUCUGUAAGAUAAAUAGAAGAGAAGCACACACCAUUAAAUAAAUGUCUAUUUUUAUACAGUAAUACACCAAAAGUAGUAUGUAUGUUUUCUGUAUAUUUUCUAAUGAAGGAUCUCAGGAAGGCUUGUGUGGGAUUCUAAUCCGAAAGGUAACUGACAAACAAUGGCCAUAUGCCUGCACACAAACGUCUACUCAUCAGUCACUCCUAGUUCCUGUAAGAGCAUUCUCACAUGUGUGUGAGCCCUAUGGGAUCAGUUCUUCUUGACCAACUUGCAGCAGCAGAUUUCAAUGAGCACAUGUUUAGUUUUACUUUAAUUUGCUCUUUCAUUCAUCACUCAUUCAUUCCUGCAUUGACCCAAAUAACCAUAGAUUCCUCUGUGCACUGAGUAAUUUGCAUGGUUCUGAGGAUUUGAU